rnacentral:rRNA from 1 species
CAGUCGCCACGGUAAUACGAAGGGGGCUAGCGUUGUUCGGAAUGACUGGGCGUAAAGGGCGCGUAGGCGGAUUGUUUAGUUAGGCGUGAAAUUCCUGGGCUUAACCUGGGGACUGCGCUUAAUACAGGCAGUCUAGAGUGAGGAAGAGGGUUGUGGAAUUCCCAGUGUAGAGGUGAAAUUCGUAGAUAUUGGGAAGAACACCGGUGGCGAAGGCGGCAACCUGGUCCUUGACUGACGCUGAGGCGCGAAAGCGUGGGGAGCAAACAGGAUUAGAUACCCCGGUAGUCCCUGUCUCAUAUAC